rnacentral:lncRNA from 1 species
AUGUCUAUUAAAGUUGAAUGGACACGAUCAAUGACUUGGCCCUUCCGUAAAAUGCCACGUGGCUGAUUCAACAAUGAUAUGAAUGAAGGAGGCGGCACAAAAUUGUUCACAAGCAUUUCCAAGCACAAAUCUACAUACUGCCCACCGGAUGUAGCCUACAGCAUAGGAGAGACUCAUGAUCGUACACACAAUUAGACACAAACAUGGAAGAUUGCAGCACUAAAGCCACAUGACAUACUGCCCACCAGAUGUAGCCUACAGCAUAGCAGAAGACUCAUGAUCAUAUACACAAUUAGACACAAACAUGGAAGAUUGCAGCACUAAAGCCACAUACCAAG